AACGAACGCUGGCGGCAUGCCUAACACAUGCAAGUCGAACGAAGGCUUCGGCCUUAGUGGCGCACGGGUGCGUAACGCGUGGGAAUCUGCCCUUAGGUUCGGAAGAACAGUUAGAAAUGGCUGCUAAUACCGGAUGAUGACGUAAGUCCAAAGAUUUAUCGCCUGAGGAUGAGCCCGCGUAGGAUUAGCUAGUUGGUGUGGUAAAGGCGCACCAAGGCGACGAUCCUUAGCUGGUCUGAGAGGAUGAUCAGCCACACUGGGACUGAGACACGGCCCAGACUCCUACGGGAGGCAGCAGUGGGGAAUAUUGGACAAUGGGCGCAAGCCUGAUCCAGCAAUGCCGCGUGAGUGAUGAAGGCCUUAGGGUUGUAAAGCUCUUUUACCCGUGAUGAUAAUGACAGUAGCGGGAGAAUAAGCCCCGGCUAACUCCGUG
rnacentral:rRNA from 1 species